rnacentral:lncRNA from 10 species
GUAGUUCCCACGGCACCAACACUAGUAAGCGGCGUCUCGCUUCACCUCCAGGUUAAAAGCCCAGAGAAGACCGCCAGGGGCGCGUGGAAAUGGUGUCCCUCGUCUCCAAGGCCCAGACGGAGCUUAGCUUCCUCUUGAAGGAGCCAUAUCUGUAUUUCUGGUGAACGUCGUGUUUGACAUCAAAGGAAUGUUUAGAGACAUGAUUUCAGCCUUCCUUACGCAGAGAAUGCUCAUCAAAAAAUAAAAUGGACACACCAUACACUGACGUCACUCAGAUUUCUAUGGCUGGAAGUUAACAAAUAUUGUUUUCAAAUGCGUGUAGCCUGAUGCUCCAGAGUUAGUUUGGCGAGCCUCAGCAUUUUCUGUCAGGCACAAGAAAGAAAAGACUCCAGACACCAUGAUGUGGAACGUGGAGUGGGGAUGUUUGGUGGCCUUGAAGCUGGAGUGCAGUGGCAUGAUCUCAGCUCGCUACAACCUCCAUCUCCCAGCCGCCUGCCUUGGCCUCCCAAAGUGCUGAGAUUGCAGCCUCUGCCCGGCCG